rnacentral:rRNA from 1 species
GUGAACGCUGGCGGUCGGCCUAACACAUGCAAGUCGAACGGCAGCACAGUAAGAGCUUGCUCUUACGGGUGGCGAGUGGCGGACGGGCGAGGAAUACAUCGGAAUCUACUUUUUCGUGGGGGAUAACGUAGGGAAACUUACGCUAAUACCGCAUACGACCUACGGGUGAAAGCAGGGGAUCUUCGGACCUUGCGCGAUUGAAUGAGCCGAUGUCGGAUUAGCUAGUUGGCGGGGUAAAGGCCCACCAAGGCGACGAUCCGUAGCUGGUCUGAGAGGAUGAUCAGCCACACUGGAACUGAGACACGGUCCAGACUCCUACGGGAGGCAGCAGUGGGGAAUAUUGGACAAUGGGCGCAAGCCUGAUCCAGCCAUACCGCGUGGGUGAAGAAGGCCUUCGGGUUGUAAAGCCCUUUUGUUGGGAAAGAAAAGCAGCAGGUUAAUACCCCGCUGUUCUGACGGUACCCAAAGAAUAAGCACCGGCUAACUUCGUG